UNCAUNAUACCGCGANGCGAAUGGCUCAUUAUAUAAGUUAUCGUUUAUUUGAUAGUACCUUACUACAUGGAUAACCGUGGUAAUUCUAGAGCUAAUACAUGCUAAAAAUCCCGACUUCGGAAGGGAUGUAUUUAUUANAUUCAAAACCAAUGCCCUUCGGGGCUCCCUGGGAUUCUUGAAAACUUCCCNAACCCCACGGCCCCCCCCCGGCAAGGGUUCUUUCAAUUUUCUCCCCUAUCACUUUUCAAUGCUGGGUCUUGGCCCUACCAUGGUUGCAACNGGUACGCGGNANAACAGAAUNUAGGUGGCGCGGGGNGGUGAGUCGGGNAGUUAGNAUGNGUGAGGGCGAUCAGCUGGCAGUACUUUAGAGUAACCACAAGUANAUGCCCGAGUGCAAANUUGGUACUGGUAUAAAUCNUAUGUNUGCACGUGCGCCCNGGUUCAUUUGCNAGCUUUUUAACUAGAACAACUUUAGUAUGAGUAUUGGANUUUUAAGUAUNGNUGCUUAUUACAGNANCUUGNGCUUUUUUCGGUUUCACUAUAUGAUUUACAGUNUACUCAUUCGNUGCAUUACUUUGAGACCCGAAUNCGUUUUCANUUGUCACUACCUCCCUAAAUUAAAUACAAUUUACCCNCCCACUNCUCCCCCCUAAU
rnacentral:rRNA from 1 species